CUCUUUAUGAAUAAAAUAAUAAGUUGACUCUGCCCAAUGAAUUUUAAAUGGCUGCAGUAUUUUAACUGUACAAAGGUAGCAUAAUAAAUUGUUUUUUAAUUGAAAACUAGAAUGAAAGAGGUGAUGAAAUAUAUACUUUAUUAAAUUUAAUUUUUGAAUUUGAUUUUAAAGUAAAAAAGCUUUAAUAGUUUUAAGGGACGAGAAGACCCUGUAGAAUUUUAUAUUAUUUUUAUUAAUAUAAAUAAUAAAAAUAAUAUUUGUUUGGGAGGGAUGUUAAAUUUAUAAACUUUAAUUAAUAAUUUACAAAUUUAAUUGAAUUAAUUUAGAAUUUAUAAAAUAAGUUUAAAAUUAAAUUACCUUAGGGAUAACAGCGUAAUAUUAUUUUAUAGUUCAUAUUGAAAAUAAUGUUU
rnacentral:rRNA from 1 species